AGAGUUUGAUCCUGGCUCAGAACGAACGCUGGCGGCAUGCCUAACACAUGCAAGUCGAACGAAGUCUUCGGACUUAGUGGCGCACGGGUGCGUAACGCGUGGGAAUCUGCCCUUGGGUACGGAAUAACUCAGAGAAAUUUGUGCUAAUACCGUAUAAUGUCUUCGGACCAAAGAUUUAUCGCCCAAGGAUGAGCCCGCGUGAGAUUAGCUAGUUGGUGAGGUAAAAGCUCACCAAGGCGACGAUCUCUAGCUGGUCUGAGAGGAUGAUCAGCCACACUGGGACUGAGACACGGCCCAGACUCCUACGGGAGGCAGCAGUGGGGAAUAUUGGACAAUGGGCGAAAGCCUGAUCCAGCAAUGCCGCGUGAGUGAUGAAGGCCUUAGGGUUGUAAAGCUCUUUUACCCGGGAUGAUAAUGACAGUACCGGGAGAAUAAGCUCCGGCUAACUCCGUGCCAGCAGCCGCGGUAAUACGGAGGGAGCUAGCGUUGUUCGGAAUUACUGGGCGUAAAGCGCGCGUAGGCGGUUUUUUAAGUCAGAGGUGAAAGCCCAGUGCUCAACACUGGAACUGCCUUUGAAACUGGAAAACUUGAAUCUUGGAGAGGUCAGUGGAAUUCCGAGUGUAGAGGUGAAAUUCGUAGAUAUUCGG
rnacentral:rRNA from 1 species